AAGAAUAAGUAAAUGGUAGUAGCAAGUCACUUAGCACAGCUUUGGGAAAUAGUUGAAAAUGUGAACAUGAUGCCUUGUGGCAUCUCCCUAUAUACAUCCAUAUUCCAAGACACAAAAUCCUUACACUAAAGAAACAGGACAUGCAUGUUUCCUUUUUUUACUUCUUCACGAAAUAAAAACCGCGUGAAUGAGAACUAAAAUGGUUCUUUCUAUCGAUCAAGAUCAAAUUAGCAAGAAACGAGACAGGUGGGGGGUUUAACGAGGCCUGGAAUAUUAGAAGGAACAGUAACAGGUUCAUACUUGGCAGCAAUUUCCAGACGCUCCCAUGUCAACCUUCGUCUCUCCGCUGCUACAUUUGACUUUGCAUUUUCUUCUUCAAGCUUGUGUUGGCACUCGAGUACAAGCUCUUCAUCCAUCUCGGAGAAGACUUUCCUCACGUUUUGACUGAGAUUAAGAACUGCUUUAUUCCAGUGGUUCUGGCUGUUCCAUUCUAAAGCUGAGAUAAUAAUUGGCAUGAUUACAUGCCUGUUAUGCAUCACGAGGUUAAGGACGUUAUCGUUGUUCCACAAGAAAUGUGCUCUUUCAGCCACCUGGAAAUGGGAGCUGUUAAGGCAAUAGCCUAUGCGACGAAACAGUGGCACCAUGAUCUUCUCAAACUCUGGAAUACUGAUCAUUUCUAAAAUCUCUUCCAACUCACUGAUGAACAUCAAUUGUUUCUGGCUACUUGUCACUGGCCAAUAUCUCAACAAUCUCGUUAUCACUAUGCUAGCCAGAUUUUGUUCCUUUUCUAUGAACUGUACAACACAAUAUGCUAAUUGUUGAUGAUAGAUACCCAAGGACUUUGGCUUGUGCAGAGGUAGCAAGGCCCUUGAGAAGAAUAAUCUAUGCUCUUCCUUUAAUGGUAAAGCAAAACCACUAAUUACACUUCCGAAAACCUCCAGAAGCUCCGCAAUCCCGUUAUGUCUUUCAGUCUCAAAAGCGAAACGAUAAAAGAUAUUGCUUACAGCCUUUCGGAUAGCAGGCCUGUGCAUCAUGAACUUCCCAUAAAGGCGAUGCAAUACUGAUUUCAAGCAUUCUCUUUCUCUUGGGUCCUCAGAAUCAAAUAGGUCAAGCAGUUUCAAUAUGAAAGAAUGGUCAAUGUAUUUCUUAGCAACCUUUGCAUCAAGAGAACCUUGACCGAUUAUGCUAAGGAACAAGUCAUAAACAAGUUGUAAAUGACACCAAGCUGGAUCAAACAUUGGUUCUUCAUCUUCACUUUCACCGCGAGCUGAGAAAUACUUGGGAGGAAAAUUUCUGAACAUGUUAACUCCACACAUUUUACAUACUGCAGCAAUUGCUGAUUCCGUGAAUCUUGCAGAUCCUGAAGCAACAAACUCAUUCAGCUCCAGCAAAACUUGUCGUUUCAAGUCCUUCUCUGCGGAAUCUUUAUCUGGAUCAUUGAAAUCAUAAAUGGUACAGCAGAGAUUCAACUUGCUUACAAAUAAGCUUUGCUUCUCCGCAUUUGAAACAUCUUUAAAGGGCACAUGUGGUGCCACAGACUCACCACCGGCCACAAUACUCGCAGGAAAAAUUGCUGUCGACAUCCGUUUCACUACAUUCAGCCUGUUAGCUAUGACUGUGCAACUAUUGGUAAACUGAAUUCCAUUCCCCAAGUUUGAGGUGUUGUU
rnacentral:misc_RNA from 1 species